rnacentral:rRNA from 1 species
UUCGCCUGUUUUAACAAAAACAUCACCUCUAGCAUCACCAGUUUUAGGGGUCGUGCGCUCGUUUAUCAAAAACAUGUCCUCUUGUAAAUAGUAUGAGGUCUGACCUGCCCACUGAUUAUUUGAAUGGCUGCAGUAUUUUGACUGUACAAAGGUAGCAUAAUCAUUAGUUUUUUAAUUGAAAGCUGGAAUGAAUGGUUGGAUGAGAAAAUUACUGUCUUUGGAUUAAUAAUUGAAUUUUAUUUUUUAGUUAAAAAGCUUAAAUGUUUAUAAAAGACGAGAAGACCCUAUAGAGUUUAAUAUUAUAAUUAAUUAAAAUUUUGGUAUUUAAUAUUUUGAUUAUGAAUUGUAUUUGGUUGGGGUGAUUAUUAAAUUAAUUAAACUUUAAUUAUUAAAAACAAUUAUUUUUGGGUUUUUGAUCCACGUGUCGUGAUUAGAAGAUUAAAUUACCUUAGGGAUAACAGCGUAAUCUUCUGAGAGUCUAUCGUACCGGG